rnacentral:lncRNA from 1 species
UAAGUACCUAGUCCUAUUCAUGACAGAUUUACUUUCAUUUCUGUGUUGACAAAUUUGAACAGUAGACCUCAAUAUGUCUGUUAAUUUUAAGCCGUUAUGUACUUUUGCAUCUGUGGUGAUUGUUGGCUAGGAGAUGUGUGCUAGGAGAAUCUCACUGAAUUUACAAAAAUGGCUAUUAACUGAAACCGACAAUCAGGACAAGUACCAUGCAUGUAACACCUGCUUCUUCUUGUUUGCAGCUUCCCCACUUCCCCCUUAACAUCAAUUCUUCAGAACAGGUAAACUAAACUGACACAGGACAAAUCAAUAAGGUGGUUGAUUCAUUUGAAAUAAUUGGUCAAUGUUUAGUAACCAUUUACUGGAUGUGAAUGCGAUUGAAAAAUUAUGUUAAAGAUUAGAGCUAAGGUUACAGCAUUCAAGUCAAGGUUUUUCAUCUUUACAGUCAUUUUGCACUUAACAGGAAGAGCCAGAUCAAUAAUGUAAUUUUCCCCAGAAACAAAGUUGUAGUUGAUGUUUCAGUACACUGUUUGGCCAUUUGCUUAUGUAUGGCUCUGUGUUGGAUAUCAACAGCAAAACUGCACACAUCUGUAUUUUGAGACUGGCCUGGCUCAACUUAAGAAGACCUGUUCUGAGGAUCUGAAAAUCAAUGGAUUGAUAGAAGAAUUGAUAAAAAGAUUUAAGUAUGAAAAAUGCCUGCGCGACCUCAGUGAUGUUACGGGCCUGAAGUGUAUGAAGAAUACAACUUCAUACCAUUUCAUGGAUCAGCUGAAAAAUCUGAGCCAACAGCUGAACAACAUCGCCAAAGUCAUAGGGAGGAGGAGGAGGAGGAGGAGGAGAUCAGUCUGGAACCAAGAAGCCUACUGAUCAGUAACUCACUGUUUGAACUGACACACUGAAGCCUGCCCACGACAAAACCAACCACUUAUAAUCUUUAUUUUUAAAUACUGAUUAUAUUCAUGGAAAACCCUAUGGAUGGAAGAUUAAUAUUUAUAUUUUUUAAUACUGAUUAUAUUUAUGGAAUAGAAUACUGAUGAAAGAUUUUUUAUUUUUAUUUUUAAAUACUGAUUAUAUUUACGAAAUAGCCAACUGAUGAAAGUUUUCUAUUUCUAUUUUUAAAUACUGAAUAUAUUUAUGAAAUAGCCUACUGAUGAAAGAUUUAUAUAUUUUUAAUAAUGAUUUAUAUUUAUGGAAUAGCCUUCUAAGUUUUAGAAUAAAAUGUAUUAUUUAAUUACUUAUUGAUUAUCUGAAUGCUGAACUUGAAAUAUUGUUAUUUAUCAUAAAUUAUGUUUUAAAAGUUAAAAUAUAUUGUUAUAUAUGUAUUUAUUAAUCACUGUUGUUGAGGUUGAUUCUGCUCUGUGCAGUGUCCUGGCUGAGCAUAUUCUUUAAUAAAGACUACUGAAGACAUGAUUUAAUGGUUUUCGUGGCUGAAUGACUUC